rnacentral:rRNA from 1 species
CCCCAUGCAGCAACGCCGCGUGAACGAAGAAGGCCCUUGGGUCGUAAAGUUCUGUCCAAAGGGAAGAUAAUGACGGUACCUUUGGAGGAAGCCCCGGCUAACUACGUGCCAGCAGCCGCGGUAAUACGUAGGGGGCAAGCGUUAUCCGGAAUUAUUGGGCCGUAAAGGGUUCGUA